UACAGAGGUCUCAAGCGUUGUUCGGAUUCAUUGGGCGUAAAGGGUGCGUAGGCGGCGAGGUUAGUCGGAUGUGAAAUCCUAGGGCUCAACCCUGGAACUGCAUUCGAUACUGCCUUGCUAGAGUACUGGAGAGGAGACUGGAAUUUACGGUGUAGCAGUGAAAUGCGUAGAUAUCGUAAGGAAGACCAGUGGCGAAGGCGAGUCUCUGGACAGUUACUGACGCUGAGGCACGAAGGCCAGGGGAGCAAACGGG
rnacentral:rRNA from 1 species